UAGUCUGGGAAACUGCCUGAUGGAGGGGGAUAACUACUGGAAACGGUAGCUAAUACCGCAUAAUGUCGCAAGACCAAAGUGGGGGACCUUCGGGCCUCAUGCCAUCAGAUGUGCCCAGAUGGGAUUAGCUAGUAGGUGGGGUAACGGCUCACCUAGGCGACGAUCCCUAGCUGGUCUGAGAGGAUGACCAGCCACACUGGAACUGAGACACGGUCCAG
rnacentral:rRNA from 1 species